UAUGUACUCCCUCCGUUCCGAAUUACAUGUCGCAAGUAUGGAUGUAUCUAGAUAUAUUUUAGUUCUAAAUACAUCCAUUUCUGCAAUGAGUAAUUUAGAACGGAGGGAGUACAAG
rfam:Triticum urartu cultivar G1812 contig937929, whole genome shotgun sequence.